CCUCCUUUUCUUGGCAGGGAUCAGUCAUGUGGUCCUGGUCCACGUACUGGAAGGAGGUAGGGCAAGGACUCUGGCCCCCUCGGCAUCAUGGCUUCGCUACUGGCAGCUUCCAGUCCCCCAGUUCUAUCCUCCAGUGCCGGGAAAAAA